CUCAUCGUCUUUGUAUGUAAAAUGAUGAUAUAUUUUUUUUUUUGUCCCCACCCCCUCCUCUCCUCUUUCUUUAUCGUAGGCCACCAAAACGACAGCCAUCCGCAUAGAUUUUUUCCUUCCACACAUUAUUUCGAUCAAAGCAAGAGCGGGGAUGUUUCUUCUUUCUUCUUCCGGCGUCGUAAUAUUGACUGAUCGCGCUUGGUGGGGGGGGUGAUUUUUUACGCAACUAAUGAGGGGCCUCCUACCACCUUUACCCCCCCCUUUUUUAGCAAAAAACCCGCUCCCCUUAUUAAUAAUCCCGGGGGGGGAAGGAAGUGGGGGGGGGUAUUUUUUUAGGGAGCGACCGAUUUUUUUUUUCCUCAAAAAAGGAGGGUGUUACCACAAAGGCGGCCCUUGAAAAUUUUUCCCCGCCGGUGCCCGGGGCUUUUCUUGUCCCGCCCCCCCCCCCCGGUGGUGCCGCCGCCGCCGCCUUUUGGAGGGAGCAGCAGGGAAUAUUGUGCAAUGGGGGAAAGCCUGACGCAGCAACGCCGCGUGGGGGAUGAAGGCCUUCGGGUGGUAAACCCCUUUCAGGAGGGAAGAAAUUGACGGUACCUCCAGAAGAAGCCCCGGCCAAAUACGUGCCAGCAGCAGCGGUAAUAAUAGGGGGCAAGCGUUGUCUGGAAUCAUUGGGCGUAAAGAGCUCGUAGGCGGCUCAGUAAGUCGGCUGUGAAAUAAUGGGGCUCAACCCCGGAGGGGCAGUCGAUAAAACUGUGGGUAGAGAGCGGUAGAGAGGAGGGGAAAAUUCCCUGUGUAGGGGGAAAAUGCAGAUAUCGGGAGGAACACCCGUAGGGAGGGGGGGUCUCUGGGCCGGUACAGACGCUGAGGAGCGAAAGAGUGGGGAGCAAACAGGAUUAGAUACCCUGGUAGUCCACGCCGUAAACGUUGGGCACAAGGUGUGGGAUUAAUCAACGGUGCCGUGCCGAAGCUAACGCAUAAGUUCCGCUGAGAGCGACGUG
rnacentral:rRNA from 1 species